UACGUAGGGGGCAAGCGUUGUCCGGAUUUAUUGGGCGUAAAGAGCGUGUAGGCGGCCUUACAGGUCAGCUGUGAAAACUCGAGGCUCAACUUCGAGCUGUCGGUGGAAACUGUCUGGCUAGAGUCCGGAAGAGGAGAAUGGAAUUCCUGGUGUAGCGGUGAAAUGCGCAGAUAUCAGGAAGAACACCCGUGGCGAAGGCGGUUCUCUGGGACGGUACUGACGCUGAGACGCGAAAGCGUGGGGAGCGAACAGG
rnacentral:rRNA from 1 species